rnacentral:misc_RNA from 1 species
AGAAAGAACACUCUAGUCUUGCCAAAUUCUCACUUAAACUCUUUGGAAAAAAUCUCAUGAUUCCUCAAGAAUUAAGUUCUGAUACUACUGUUGAUGUUUUGCUUUGAUGCCACUUUUGAAAUGUGAAAUGUGAAAUCUGGGCUUGUAAAUUUUGAAAUGAAAAUGUGAAAUAGAGAGACAAUUGAGAGAACUUAGAAUAGAACUUUCUUCUUCAAUCU